rnacentral:rRNA from 1 species
GUGGGGAAUCUUGCGCAAUGGGCGAAAGCCUGACGCAGCCAUGCCGCGUGAAUGAUGAAGGUCUUAGGAUUGUAAAAUUCUUUCACCGGGGACGAUAAUGACGGUACCCGGAGAAGAAGCCCCGGCUAACUUCGUGCCAGCAGCCGCGGUAAUACGAAGGGGGCUAGCGUUGCUCGGAAUUACUGGGCGUAAAGGGCGCGUAGGCGGACAGUUUAGUAAGAGGUGAAAGCCCAGGGCUCAACCUUGGAAUUGCCUUUGAUACUGGCUGUCUUGAGUACGGGAGAGGUGAGUGGAACUCCGAGUGUAGAGGUGAAAUUCGUAGAUAUUCGGAAGAACACCAGUGGCGAAGGCGACUCACUGGCCCGUUACUGACGCUGAGGCGCGAAAGCGUGGGGAGCAAACAGGAUUAGAUACCCUUGUAGUCC